GAUGAACGCUGGCGGCGUGCCUAACACAUGCAAGUCGAGCGAGGGUUUGCUCAGUAUUGAGUAUUCUAAGACUAGAAUGUUCAAUUCUGAGCAAAACCAAGCGGCGGACGGGUGAGUAACGCGUGGGUAACCUGCCCUAUACACAUGGAUAACAUACUGAAAAGUUUACUAAUACAUGAUAAUAUAUAUUUGCGGCAUCGCAGAUAUAUCAAAGUGUUAGCGGUAUAGGAUGGACCCGCGUCUGAUUAGCUAGUUGGUGAGAUAACUGCCCACCAAGGCGACGAUCAGUAGCCGACCUGAGAGGGUGAUCGGCCACAUUGGAACUGAGACACGGUCCAAACUCCUACGGGAGGCAGCAGUGGGGAAUAUUGCACAAUGGGCGAAAGCCUGAUGCAGCAACGCCGCGUGAACGAUGAAGGUCUUCGGAUCGUAAAGUUCUGUUGCAGGGGAAGAUAAUGACGGUACCCUGUGAGGAAGCCCCGGCUAACUACGUGCCAGCAGCCGCGGUAAUACGUAGGGGGCUAGCGUUAUCCGGAUUUACUGGGCGUAAAGGGUGCGUAGGUGGUCCUUCAAGUCGGUGGUUAAAGGCUACGGCUCAACCGUAGUAAGCCGCCGAAACUGGAGGACUUGAGUGCAGGAGAGGAAAGUGGAAUUCCCAGUGUAGCGGUGAAAUGCGUAGAUAUUGGGAGGAACACCAGUAGCGAAGGCGGCUUUCUGGAGUGCUGCUGACACUGAGGCACGAAAGCGUGGGUGCAAACAUG
rnacentral:rRNA from 1 species